CUAGCCUGAACAAAUUAGUCUUCACUUGACCCUUAAAACAGUCACAGUCUGUGACCCCGGAUGACCUCCCGUCACAUAUAAGUACCGGUGUAGCAGCUCUCAUCCUGAGAUCAGUCCUAUUUCAUCUUCUCGCUACGCAGGUAGCUACUCUGGUAGCUAAGCUUAAACAAGCUAAUUCUCUAAUAUUGAGACAUAUUUCAGCUUAUUGCGUGUUGCCUUGCAACCAACGGUCGGAGCUGCGGACCUCCCGCCCUCCAAAGGCUGCUCCAAGCUGCCCCCCUAAGAGGAAACAGCAUGCUUCGUCGAGGGUCUAUCGAGGACCACCUGAAACGCGAAGACGGAAAUCGAUGGCGAGGCUGCUUGCAGUAGUAAUGCUGUAGUAAUCCCUCCUGCACAUGGUUCCCUCGCUCCGAUAAACACCUCGCUCCCAUUGUUUCCUGGACUUCCUUGGUACUUUCGGGCCCCCGUGGUAUCACUUUGCCCAUGGCCUGUGGAGCUUGACAGGCUUCCUACUGUACAAAACCUGAGUGAUCGGGAGUGUUGGUCAGGACCUGAUGACACUGCUGGAAAGCAUGCUGCAUUGGGGUUGGAGCCUGCAACACAGAAGGCUGGGCGGGACGGCGGGGAGGAGCGCUCUCUCACCACUCUCACCUGGGGCUAAUCACCAAUCUGGCACCAGUUAAAGCCUGCCGUCUCCUGUCGACGCAACACGACACACAUGCCAGCACGUUUGCUCAGCCUGCGCGCUGUACCCUGCCCAGCCUUCCACCGAACCUACCAGCAGCCCAGCCCCGAGCCUCACCUCAUGAGCCCCUGCAUGGGAUCACCUGGACACGAGACCCCCCUGAAUAUAUCCUUCCUUUUUGACUUCAAAACUGUCUGCCUCGGAUUUGCUUUUGGAUCCAGUUCUCAUCACCCCUAACUGUAAUGUACUGCAUGAAGCGGGGGCUAUAAACAUCUUUGUCAAUAUAGUUUUCCUACCGGAACUUACUCUGCUGAAACAUUAGCCUCAACAUUA
ensembl:lncRNA